rnacentral:lncRNA from 10 species
AUUUUCCUGCAGUCACUGCUGGCAGAUGAUAGAGCCAGGAUUUGAAAGCAGGCAGCCUGGCUCCAGACCCUGUGCUCUUAACUCCCGUUUUGCAUCAAGAACAGAAUCCUAUGAAAGGAUAGCAGCAUCAAGGAGCAUUGUGUACAUGCAGAAGUGCACAGUACCUGGAGUGAAACUGCUUGUGUUCGAUUUCUGAUACCAUUCAUAACUGGCUGUGUGAUCUCAAAUAAGAAAACUGAAGAACCAGCUGGGCGCGGUAGCUCACGCCUGUAAUCCCAGCACUUUGGGAGGCUGAGGCGGGUGGAUUACCUGAGAACCUCUAAAAUGCAGACCUCCAGCUCUAGAUCUGUGCACCUGAGUGAAUGGCAGAAGAAUUACUUCGCAAUUACAUCUGGCAUAUGUACCGGACCGAAGGCAGAUGCAUACCGUGCACAGAUAUUACGCAUUCAGUAUGCAUGGGCAAACUCUGAGAUUUCCCAGGUCUGUGCUACCAAACUGUUCAAAAAAUAUGCAGAGAAAUAUUCUGCAAUUAUUGAUUCUGACAAUGUUGAAUCUGGGUUGAAUAAUUAUGCAGAAAACAUUUUAACUUUGGCAGGAUCUCAACAAACAGAUAGUGA